UGAAGUCUUUAGCAGGCCCGCCAGGACUUUGCUACUUCUCCGACCUUGAAGGUCUGGGUCGUCGAGUCCCAGAACAGACUGCUGUUGCUUGCUUGUGCCGUGGCCGUGACCGAGACCUGGUCAGGUGAGUGCGGGGCGGUAGGAAAAGGCAGCUGCGGGGCGGGAGCGAGGGGACCUCCUUGCGGGGACGCGGGACUCCCGGGGAAGGCGCCUCACCGUCGCCCCCUCCCGAGACCCCCCAGCCGCCCCCGGCCCCGCUGGGGUCUGUGCUCCCACUUCUCUCCCCAUCUCCUCCCUGCUCUCCCCCACUCGGUGCCCGCUCCCCCUGCCCUCGUGGCUGCAUCCACCUGAGCCUUGGGCCCGGCGAGGAGGAGGGUCGGGCGGGGUCGCAGCCCCUCCAUGCCCGCAGGCGCCCUCCCGGUGAGGUAUUUCCACACCGGCAUGUCCCGCCCGGCCCCGGGAGCCCCACUCUCCGCCACUGCCCUCCUGUCUCCCGACCCCUACUGCUCUGCAUUUUCCUCCCUCAUCUGCUCCCCUCUCCAUCCCUAUCUGUGUUUCUCUUCCCAGGGAACUGGGGACUCUUAAUGUCUGGUUUAAAUUAAAACUCUGGGGGCACCUGGGUGGCUCAGUGGGUUAAAGCCUCUGCCUUCAGCUCAGGUCAUGAUCCCAGAGUCCUGGGAUCAAGCCCCACAUCGGACUCUCUACUCCGCAGGGAGCCUGCUUCCCUUCCUCUCUCUCUGCCUGUCUCUCUGCCUACUUGUGAUCUCUCUCUCUGUCAAAUAAAUAAAUAAAAUUUAAAACAAAACAAACAAACAAAAAACUCUGGAUGCAGUUUGUUUGCUUCAGUGCUUGCCUGGAGGGGUUGAUGGGUUACUUAAAAAACGGAGGAUUCCUAGUGUUCCGGAGAGGAAAUAAAAGCACUGAGAGCCUGCCAGGUUCUGCAAGUUUGCUGGGCUUCCUCUGGGGGUGGGGAGAAGAGAGGCUGCAAGGAGCCAGCAUGGACUGUGCCCAGCCUGUGCUACUUGCAUCCUGGGCUUUGACAUGGUCACUCCUCUGCUGGGUCAUCAUCACUGCUCCCUUGACCCUGUCCCUUCAGUAGAACCUGUCUGAUGUCCCAUCUGAUGUCCCAUCAGGCCCUGCGGUCACAGGGACUUGGAUCUCCCCUGUCUCCAGGACCUUGUGCAGCAAGAGCUUCCUGUGAGCAGGACAGUCUAGACUCAGAACUGGGUCAGGACUCAGCCCCCAAGUUUUGCCUGUCUUUUCUCCUCCUCCUAGUCCCCCUCCCGUUUUUUUUUUCUUUUUCUUUGGAGGCUUAGGCCAGUUCUUCUCCUGUAAGAGUUCUGGUCUCAUGUCCCUCCGGAUUCAUAGAGUGAUGAAGCAGUGUCUAAUCUGAAUCCACAUUUGUCUGGAAUAUAUGACCCGUAAGACUAUGCACAACUUUGCUGAAGGAAGAACUGUCGUUGUUUCCUGUGCUGUGCAGGAGGGAUGGUGUGGGAAGGAGGACAUGGGGACGUGGAGGAGACACCACUGGUGAGAAAAGUGACAGCUGCCACAAACAGCUGUGGCCUGAGACUCAUCUAGAAGAGAAGUGCUUUUGUGGAUCAUUUCUCCAAGUGAUAAUUGAGCGUCAGACACAGGAACACUACUAUAGCAUCUAGGACACCUCAGUGAAGUAGAAACAGACCAAAUGGGCCCACCUGGUGGGGUGUAUGUGCUGGUAGUGAGGGGCAGACUGUGCUAGUAACUAAGGGAAGUGUGUGUGUUAGAGGUUGGGAAGUGCAGUGAGGGAGGGGACCCAGAGGAGACCUGCAUGGGGACAGGGAAGACGGCUACUUUACUGGGGUGGUACAUGUGAGCCUCACUGAGAACAUGAGCUCUGAGGGGAUUGAAGGACAUGAAGGAAUUUUGUAAGAGGAGGUCUGGGGGUAGUUCUUUCCAGGCAGGGAACCUCUGGUUCACCCUCACUAGGGCAGGGGAAUGUCCUGUGUUCAAAAAAGGGUGAGGAGUGGAAUCACAAGAAAUGUCUUGAUGGAAUCCCAUCUGUGGCAGACUGGCAGAAAUAGAGGGAGACAAGGAUUACCCAGGCAGCACGAUGCAGGAAAGAAACAACAUGGUUGAGUGUAGUGAUGGUGCUGUCCUAGAGAAUUAAAAGGUCUGACAAAUGAGGGGGGAAAUAUUCCGAGAGGACGACCUCUUAGGUUCCACAAAGUUGAGACAGACCUUUCCACAUACAGAAUGAUUCUUUUUUUUUUUUUUAAGAUUUUAUUUAUUUAUUUGACAGAGAGAGAUCACAAGUAGAUAGAGAGGCAGGCAGAGAGAGAGAGAGAGGGAAGCAGGCUCCCUGCCGAGCAGAGAGCCCAAUGCGGGACUCUAUCCCAGGACCCCGAGAUCAUAACCUGAGCUGAAGGCAGCGGCAUAACCCACUGAGCCACCCAGGCACCCCUACAGCAUGAUUCUUGCAGCUAAGACCCUGCUUGGAUAACACAACUCAGCCUGCAGGUCAUCUCCAGCAGGGGACCCAGAGUGAUAACUAUGUUGCUCUGUGACUGUGCAGGGUAACAGCCUGCUCUGAUGAAGCAAGCAGCUGUGUUGGAAAGACCAGAAACUCAGGCCAGCCUGCUGCCUACAUCCAUCAAGAAGCUGAGGCCCCCAGUCCACCAGCCCACAAAGAACUACUCAGUCCUCCCCAGAGGCCCAUGAGGGAACUACUGUCAGGCUACCAGAAAGUGCCACCUUCACGUCACUUCUCACCUUGGAGAGCAGGCCUCACCAGGAAGUCAGCUGGAAGAAGACAGGUCACAGAUAGCAGGAUUGGAUCUAUAGGGAGAAGGACCAGAGGAUUUUUUUCCCACCAAAGAGACCUCCUCGGCAGGAACUCUGGUACUCUCUGGAUUUCUUGCAUACCUGCUCCUGGAACCCUCCUACAGGAGCGGAAGAUGUGACCUUAGCUCGAGAUCCUGGAAUCCAGAGGCAACCAUGUGCAUUGUCCCAGGUGGUGUUGGGGCUCUGGGGUCCAGCAGGUCUCCAGCCUCCCACCUUCUCCUAGCCUGCCCUCCCACCAGCCAGGGAUACCACAUCCCGCCCCCAUCCCCAGGAGCCAGUAGCCUCCAUAUCUGUUUCAUAAUAAAUAGGAACAGAAGUUUCAGUUGAACCCUUGGGGUGAGACAGGUAUAGAUCAGAAUGAGGAGACUAGAUCUCCUUUCCACCUGAGUUCUUGUUCUUCUAGAACACAACUCUAGCAACUAUAGUUCCAUCAAUCUAAACCCCUGCUAAAACAACCCCAGAGAUCAGAGCAUCAAUGAGAACCUGGCCAGGAAGGCCCCCUUGAGGAGCAUGGUGGGCUGGGCAAAUGGAUCAGAGGUGAAAAGGAAAACAGAGAUACCCUGUGCCCUGCUGGAAGUCUCUAGAAAGCUCCUGGGUCCUUGAUAUGAGGCUCCACUGCUCAUCUCUCCUCCACUCCCCCACUGUCUCAUAGUGAUGGGCCCUGGCAUCCUUUCAUGCUGCAUGUGGCACGUGUAUCUCUCAUCUCCAGAAGGCAGCACAAUGGCCAUCCACUUCUGGAUGGUUCCAUCCCCUUCUGCCUGGUCUCCACAAGCUCCUUGUUCUAGACCUGGUGCUCCUUGGCCCACUACAGGUCAUAGUCAUCUCUGUAGGGGAGGAGCCCAGGUUGCACAGCCCCUCAGGGUGACCCCACAGUCAGAGAGAGGGUGGCUGGUCACCUGUGUUCUGGGAGGCUCUGUGGAAGAGCAAACAGGGAGCACUAAGACAAAGCCUUCUGGAAAAGCAUCAACUCCACAGACCAAGAUGUAAUACCUAGGGAGGGUCUGGCUGCUUGCCAGGGAGAGGCAGGGAGUGUUCCCUAUCGGGGCAGAAGUAACCGGCACUAGCCAGGCCCGGGGCCCAAGGCAAGAGGGUGAGAACUGCUUCUAACAUUCUCCUCCAAGGGCCGACCCUUUUCAGAGACUCUCCACCCGCUUAUGAAGCCUGGAACUCAGUAUCUCUAGUUCAGUAUUGAUAGGUCCUCACAGCUACUGUGUCUCUGGUUUGAGGAAGAGCCUGAAGAGUGAGAAACCUCCAUGAGCCUCAGAGCUACUACCGUGCUCUCCCGCAAGAACGUUCCCCAGCGUGGGCCUAAGAAGUGUGUGCCAUGGCACUGCCCAGGGGACUCGGGAUGGGCCGCUGUCCUCAGCGCAUGGCCCCCCAUCCCACACUAGAUGUCUUCCACCUCUGUGUGUGAGUAGCUCUGGAGAGAGGGUGGCCCCAGGCUGGACUAGGAAGAGCUUGUAGGGCUGGGCUGUGGGGAGUCCUUACCAGUGCCGCUGAUGUUCUUGUCCUAAACCCCAAGUGUCUCUGCAGCAAUAGGAACCGCGGCUUCUUGAGUCCAUCUUGUCCCUCAAUGAAGUGCCCACCGGCCUCCUGUCUCUGCUGGGGUAGCAGCAACAAAGAGACUACCAUGGAUGGCAGAGGUUCCAUGUUCAAACUCAGUCACUGUCAUGUCCUGGUCAUCCCGUGCCACCCCAAGGUCCCAUUAUCCUCCUGGAGCUCCAGCCACAGUGACCUGCAAGGUCAGGGUCCUGCCCAGGACCAGGCAGUGUCAGUCAGGACAGAGCACAUCUCCGGAGCCCCAGCAUUUGUCUCUGCAUCCCACCCCCACCAGCUUCUCAGUAGGGAACAUUCACUGUGUAGAUUGUGCUAGUUUGACACAGUAAGAAUGACAUACUUGGUCUUGCUCCUCAGUUCCUGCACAGCUCUUAACACCUCUGUAACAGCCUGAGUGAUGGGAGUCAUAGGAACAGGUCUUCUAAGAGUUUGUUCUCAGAUCCUGAAAAACUGCUGGAAAGAUCCCUGUCCCAUCCUUACACACUGUACCAAACCUCCCCGCAUGCCAUCUCUCUCCUCUGAUGCUAUGAGCCCUGAGAAGGCAGGACUCUGUUGGGACCUGAAACAGAACCAUCUGGCAAACUGGAAUUCACGUUCCUAUAUGGAUCCACUGGGAAAGUCUGAGCAGCCUCCCUCUUCAGCUCUAAUUGUGCUUCUUACUGGAUUAUGCCUGGAUGCCACAUGCAGGGUCCUCCACUGACUGAUUCAUAUGCUAAACCCUCCAGAUAUUAACUAGAAAUGAUUAACUACACCUAUCUCCUGACCUCCCUGUGUCCAAUGUCACCCACACCUUGCCCACUCUAACUGCUUGGGACCUCACCCCCACCCCCCAUAAGCCCAGAUCAUGUGUACAAUCUGUACACAUCAGGGUCUACACAGAGUUGCAGCUCAUUCAUGAACUUUCCCCGACCACUGGGGGUCUGGUCUAUGAACCCUAUAAACUGUGUCUCUGUUUUUCGUGUGACGUCUAUGGAGGCAUCGGUCUUUAGUAGCUCUCAGUCUGCCUCACACACUCAGUCACGUGAUCUCAGAAGGGUGGGCGCCUCCCCAUCUUCACUGUAGGCUCUGUGAGGACAAACACUAGCUUAUACUUUCUGGUUCCUCCCCUACAGGGACCUAAACUGUGUCCAUGACCCACUAAGUCUGUUAGUUAACUACUUAAUGACACAAGGAUCCUACCCCCCUGAGCAGACUGUCCCUGCUUCACUCUCACAUGACAGCUUGUGUGCACCUGCCUGCUCCAGCCUGACAAGAGGAUCUCACACUCCUGGGGGUCAGGGUCAGGCCCCUCUGCUUUCUCCCAGGCCCCAAGCUGCUGGCUGUCCCAGCUGCUCUUUGUCCAGACUGAGCCCCGGGGUUUAGCGGUAGGAUCGCUGCACAUUCCUCAGGUUUGGGGGUUACUUUUCAUCUGGCUCGUGAAGAUCUUGGUCUCGUCAUCCGAAGAACUUGGCUCCUUCAUGCACCACUCGACUCCAAACUGUCUCCCUCUCCUCAGGGUCAUAGUAGAGGAAGGUCCAUGAAGCCCAAGGCAGGAAAUGCAGGACCUCCUAGAGCAGCUCUGACCCCGCUGAGGGGGAAUACUGCUGAGAGCGAGCGCUGUCCUGAGCUGAGCAAGGAAGCCAGGGGAGGGGGAGUUUCGGAGGAGGCUCCAGGAUUAACUGAGUGAGGACCUAGUGAUGCACCUGUGGGGAAAGCAUGUGUAUCUGUGUGUGUGUGUGUGUGUGUGUGUGUGUGUAUGCCCACACACACGUGUGUUGUGUGACAGGAGAGACAGGGCACACAACAUAACACAAUGGGAGACAAUGACACAACAAACCUCCCUGUCCCUCACCCCCUGUGACAGUCAUAUUCCAAUCCCACACCCAUGGUGUCCCCAUAAAAUGCACAGAUUGUGUGUGAUUUCCUGCAAUGCAAACACUCUUUGGCAUAUCCAGAUUAAAACAAACAAACAAACAAAACCUGUGCUACUUUUAUCAAAACUCACUGGUGUCUUGCUCUUCCCAGCCGUGUAAAGAUGACAUGCAGAUCACACCCCAUAGCUGUGUGAGAACUGAACAUUUGAACCCAUGCUGUCCGCGCUAAGUAUGCAACAGAAAUCAUCGGCCAUUGCCAAAAAGAACCGUUUGAAGAACAGUAUAAAUGAGCUGCAGGCAGGAACGUCCUGGGAACAGUAGAACUUUCUGUAAUAGUAAUGAUGGGUGUUAAGUUCAGCAAACAUGGAAAUGGUGUCAUCAGAAGCUCCUGCUGUCCUCUGAGCUGUGAAGCCAAGCAUCAAAUGUUUACACAGUGCACUUUCUGUUCACAGGAUUCUCUUGUUCACAGGCAUUACUCCUCCAGUAAAUGAUCAUCUGAGAUGGUUGCCAGAGAGGAGGGGUGGGGUCUUGGAACAUGCGGGAGGGGCAGUGGGGACACAGUCUUCCAGUUCCAGAAUGAAUAAGUGACGGAAAUAAAAGUCACAGCACGAGGAAGACAGAUGAUGAUACUGUCAUAGGGCUGCAUCGGGCAAAUGCGAGCUACACCUGUGAGGAAUAGAGUGUAACAUAUGAACUUGUCACAUCAUUACUUUGUACCCCUGAGACUAAUGGAAUAUUAUGUGUCAACUAUACCCCCAAUUUAAAUACUCUUAAAAAUUAUUUUCUUGGGGCGCCUGGGUGUUUCGGUGGGUUAAAGCCUCUGCCUUCAGCUCACGUCAUGAUCCCAGGGUCCUGGGAUUGAGUCCCAAGUCAGGCUUUCUGCUCAGUGGGGACACUGUUCCUCUUCUCUCUCUGCCUGCCUCUCUGCCUACUUGUGAUCUCCAUCUGUCAAAUAAAUAAAUAAAAUCUUUUUAAAAAAUUAUCUUCCCUACAAUUUCAUCUGUUUUAACAUUUUACAUUAAAUGAAUAUACACAGCGAAUUCUAAUAUUGGAUAUGAUAAUUGAUUAAAUGUAUAAUGUAUAUUUAACUUACACAAAGUAAGCUGCAAACAAUUAAAAAUAUAAAUAACUAAA